GAUGAACGCUGGCGGCGUGCCUAAUACAUGCAAGUCGAGCGAACGGACGAGAAGCUUGCUUCUCUGAUGUUAGCGGCGGACGGGUGAGUAACACGUGGAUAACCUACCUAUAAGACUGGGAUAACUUCGGGAAACCGUAGCUAAUACCGGAUAAUAUUUUGAACCGCAUGGUUCAAAAGUGAAAGACGGUCUUGCUGUCACUUAUAGAUGGAUCCGCGCUGCAUUAGCUAGUUGGUAAGGUAACGGCUUACCAAGGCAACGAUGCAUAGCCGACCUGAGAGGAUGAUCGGCCACACUGGAACUGAGACACGGUCCAGACUCCUACGGGAGGCAGCAGUAGGGAAUCUUCCGCAAUGGGCGAAAGCCUGACGGAGCAACGCCGCGUGAGUGAUGAAGGUCUUCGGAUCGUAAAGCUCUGUUAUUAGGGAAGAACAUAUGUGUGAGUAACUGUGCACAUCUUGACGGUACCUAAUCAGAAAGCCACGGCUAACUACGUG
rnacentral:rRNA from 1 species